AGCUCAGUGGUCCAAUGGUAAAGCGCUCGUCGCGGAGCUAGAAAGUCAUGGGUUCGAUCCCCGACUGGGUCG
rnacentral:tRNA from 1 species